rnacentral:lncRNA from 1 species
ACGGCGUCGCCAAGCAGUCAAGGUACGGGUGGGUAGGUUUUACUUUUGCCUUUCUCUGGAUUGUGGUUCUUCGCCUCUCUCGCAAACCGGGACAAUGGGCAGGUAAUGGGAGGACGAGAAAGAAUUAGGAAGGCCUCACCUGCCUCGACCCAAAACCGCCUCUGGAAUGAAACGAGUCCUGUAACAAAAAUUACGUUAUAUUUUAGUAUCAAAAUUUGAACAAAUUCAAAGGUGUAAAAGGGCAACAAAUUCUAGAACAGGUUUUAGUUAUUAAAAAAUUUCAUAUUCACCAAAAAAAAAAAAAAAGGAUUUUUCAGAAGACAAGCUGAGAUUGGAGGCGACGGUGGCAUAUGAACGAUACUGGACAAUCCUCACGAGGACUCCUUUUAGAGUUUUUAGUUUGCUGACCGACCGCUCCGACACAAAUUUAC